rnacentral:rRNA from 1 species
AUUGAACGCUGGCGGCAUGCCUUACACAUGCAAGUCGAACGGCAGCACGGGUGCUUGCACCUGGUGGCGAGUGGCGAACGGGUGAGUAAUACAUCGGAACGUACCUUAUCGUGGGGGAUAACGCAGCGAAAGCUGUGCUAAUACCGCAUACGCCCUGAGGGGGAAAGCGGGAGAUCGCAAGACCUCGCGCGAUUAGAGCGGCCGAUGCCUGAUUAGCUUGUUGGUGGGGUAAAAGCCCACCAAGGCGACGAUCAGUAGCUGGUCUGAGAGGACGAUCAGCGACACGGGGACUGGGACACGGCCCAGACUCCUACGGGGGGCAGCGGUGGGGAAUUUUGGACAAUGGGGGCAACCCUGAUCCAGCAAUGCCGCGUGAGUGAAGAAGGCCUUCGGGUUGUAAAGCUCUUUUGUCAGGGAAGAAACACCGGCUCUAACACAGUCCGGGAAUGACGGUACCUGGAGAAUAAGCACCGGCUAACUACGUGCCAGCCGCCGCCGUAA